UAACGAAUCUUCCGCAAUGUACGAAAGUAUGACGGAGCGACGCCGCGUGCGGGACGAAGCCCUUCGGGGUGUAAACCGCUAAAACCAUCAGGAAAGUUCUGAUCCGGUGGUGAUAAGGAGCGACUAACUCUGUGCCAGCAGUCGCGGUAAUACAGAGGCUCCAAGCGUUAGGCGGAAUCACUGGGCUUAAAGCGUGCGUAGGCGGCCCGCCAAGUGUCUUGUGAAAGCCCACGGCUCAACCGUGGAAUUGCUCGGCAUACUGGCGGGCUUGGAUCACCCAGGGGCGAGCGGAACUGACGGUGGAGCGGUGAAAUGCGUAGAUAUCGUCAGGAACGCCGAAGGCGAAAGCAGCUCGCUGGGGGUGAAUCGACGCUGAGGCACGAAAGCUAGGGUAGCGAACGGGAUUAGAUACCCCCGUAGUCC
rnacentral:rRNA from 1 species